rnacentral:rRNA from 1 species
CCUACGGGGGGCAGCAGUGGGGAAUAUUGCACAAUGGGCGAAAGCCUGAUGCAGCAACGCCGCGUGAGUGAAGAAGGCCUUCGGGUCGUAAAACUCUGUCCUAAGGGAAGAAUAAUGACGGUACCUUAGGAGGAAGCCCCGGCUAACUACGUGCCAGCAGCCGCGGUAAUACGUAGGGGGCGAGCGUUAUCCGGAAUCACUGGGCGUAAAGGGUGCGUAGGCGGUCGAGCAAGCCAGGGGUGAAAGGCUACGGCAUAACCGUAGUAAGCCUUUGGAACUGUUUGGCUUGAGUGCAGGAGAGGAGAGUGGAAUUCCUAGUGUAGCGGUGAAAUGCGUGGAUAUUAGGAGGAACACCAGUGGCGAAGGCGACUCUCUGGACUGUAACUGACGCUGAGGCACGAAAGCGUGGGGAGCGAACAGGAUUAGAUACCCCUGUAGUC